GACCCGUUAGCUCAGUCGGCAGAGCAACUGCCUUUUAAGCAGUGGGUCCGGGGUUCGAAUCCCCGACGGGUCACCA
rnacentral:tRNA from 1 species